rnacentral:rRNA from 1 species
AAUCAACGCUGGCGGCGUGCCUAAUACAUGCAAGUCGAACGAGGUGCUUUUGUAGCAAUACGAAAGUAUCCUAGUGGCGAACGGGUGAGUAACGCGUUGGUGACCUGCCCCAAAGUGUGGGAUAACAGUCCGAAAGGAUUGCUAAUACCGCAUGUGGUUUUCGGAAUUAGAAACCGAUCUCUAAAGCAGCAAUGCGCUUUGGGAGGGACCUGCGUCCCAUCAGCUAGNGGUGAGGUAACGGCUCACCAAGGCGACGACGGGUA